rnacentral:rRNA from 1 species
AUGGCUCCUCGUCCCAUCCCCGCUUGGCUUCGCGGUAGAUGUUACAGAUGCUUCGCUCAUGGUCAUCGCGCGGCUGUUUGCAAAGAGCCGUUGUGGUGCUCCCGUUGUUUGGAGAACGGUCAUCGUGCGCGUGCAUGUUGCAACCCAUGGCGUCCUCUAAGCUCACUGCCAUGCAAUGAUGUGCCGCUCGUGUCGCAGCUCGACGUCGCGCAUCGUCCUGCUCUUGCUUCAUGUGAGGGUCCGAUGAGAUCCGCACUCGCAUCCAAGGCGCUUCAUCGUGGGUCUUGGGCGUCUGUCGUCUCUGGUACCGUUGGCUCACCAACCUCGUCGGAGUUGAUGUUGCAGUCCGCUUUGGUUGAUCAGACCGCGUUGCUGCAAGGUUGUCUGGCGUGUGCUGGGAGCUUUUUAGAGCGAGCGGAGGCUGCUUUGAGUAGACUCUCCCUUGCGCCGGCUAUGUUGCAGACCUCUCUGACGCCGCACUCUCCUUGUGCGGCCGGUGUUUGCUCCACGGAGGAGAGGGGGGCGGAGUUAUAUGGCUCCUUCUCCCCUCGUGUUGGAGACAAUUCAUCCUCAAUGCCCACCUCCAUCCUAUGUUGUCUUCCACUAAGGGCGAGUCCAUUGAUGUGCUUGUGGCUCCGGUACUGCAGGUCAUGCCCGAGCUUAGGGAGCUAUGUCUGA